GACGAACGCUGGCGGCGUGCUUAACACAUGCAAGUCGAACGGAAAGGCCCUGCUUUUGUGGGGUGCUCGAGUGGCGAACGGGUGAGUAACACGUGAGUAACCUGCCCUUGACUUUGGGAUAACUUCAGGAAACUGGGGCUAAUACCGGAUAGGAGCUCCUGCUGCAUGGUGGGGGUUGGAAAGUUUCGGCGGUUGGGGAUGGACUCGCGGCUUAUCAGCUUGUUGGUGGGGUAGUGGCUUACCAAGGCUUUGACGGGUAGCCGGCCUGAGAGGGUGACCGGCCACAUUGGGACUGAGAUACGGCCCAGACGCCUACGGGAGGCAGCAGUGGGGAGUAUUGCACAAUGGGCGGAAGCCUGAUGCAGCAACGCCGCGUGCGGGAUGACGGCCUUCGGGUUAUAAACCGCUUUCGCCUGUGACGAAGCGUGAGUGACGGUAAUGGGUAAAGAAGCACCGGCUAACUACGUG
rnacentral:rRNA from 1 species